rnacentral:sRNA from 1 species
CAGAAGACCAGAAGAAGACGUGGAGGAACCUGUGUGCACGGAGGGAGGAGGGAGGCUGCGAGGGAAUGUUGCCAACUAUAUUGAAUAAACCAUUUCUUGCUUACAUUUUGGUGCAAAACGGUGCCAGGCAAGUCAACGGAGAUUCUUACACACAUCGGAUGGCAUGAAGAUUUGUACGCAUUUUAUGGACUGUAUAUCUAAAAUAUCGAAACAGAAAAUAGUGCCUGUUUAGUAUUUUUGUUAAAACUU